rnacentral:rRNA from 1 species
AGUGAACGCUGGCGGUGUGCUUAACACAUGCAAGUCGAACGGCAACACAGUAAGAUCUUGCUGUUACGGAGUGCCGAUGGCGUGCGUGUGAGGAAUACAUCCUAAUCUACUUUUUGGGGUGAGAUAACGUAGGUAGGCUUACGCUCGUAUCGCAUACGACCUAGGAUGGAAAGGAUUGGAUCUUCUGAACUUGCGCGAUUGAAUGAGCCGAUGUCGGAUUAGCUAGUUGGCGGGGUAAAGGCCCACCAAGGCGACGAUCCGUAGCUGGUCUGAGAGGAUGAUCAGCCACACUGGAACUGAGACACGGUCCAGACUCCUACGGGAGGCAGCAGUGGGGAAUAUUGGCCAAUGGGCGCAAGCCUGAUCCAGCCAUACCGCGUGGGUGAAGAAGGCCUUCGGGUUGUAAAGCCCUUUUGUUGGGAAAGAAAAGCAGCAGGUUAAUACCCCGCUGUUCUGACGGUACCCAAAGAAUAAGCACCGGCUAACUUCGUG